rnacentral:rRNA from 1 species
AACGAACGCUGGCGGCAGGCCUAACACAUGCAAGUCGAACGGAACCUUCGGGAUUAGUGGCGGACGGGUGCGUAACGCGUGGGAACCUACCCUUUGCUACGGAAUAACUCACGGAAACUUGAGCUAAUACCGGAUGAGCUCUUCGGGCGAAAGAUUUAUCGGCAAGGGAUCGGCCCGCGUUGGAUUAGCUAGUUGGUGGGGAAAGGCCUACCAAGGCGACGAUCCAUAGCUGGUCUGAGAGGAUGAUCAGCCACACUGGGACUGAGACACGGCCCAGACUCCUACGGGAGGCAGCAGUGGGGAAUAUUGGACAAUGGGCGCAAGCCUGAUCCAGCCAUGCCGCGUGAGUGAUGAAGGUCUUAGGAUUGUAAAGCUCUUUUACCCGUGAAGAUAAUGACGGUAGCGGGAGAAGAAGCCCCGGCUAACUUCGUG